rnacentral:lncRNA from 1 species
AGACCGAAAGGGAAGCCCCGUCAAAGAGGCGAAGGGGCAGAAGGACGGACCUGGGCCAGGGGCGUGUCCUCCCGGCAGGGGCGUGUCCUCCUGAAGGGGCGUGGCGUCGGGGCCUCACGUGGCGCGUUCGCCAGCCGGGCGCGCGUCCGUCGCCCAGGGGCGUGGCGUUGGGGCUCCCAGGGCGAGUCCGGGGCUGGGGGCGUGACGUCAGGCGCCCGGGGCGGAAACGCGCAGGGCUCGGCUUGGGCCGCGGGGUCCAGGCGAGGGUCGCGGCGAGGGUCGCGGCGAGGGUCGCAGUGCGCGCGGGCCGGGAGUGCUGUGCGCUUGGAGGGCCCGGUGAGGCGGCGGGGCCCCUGGGGCUCCCGGUGGUCGGCGGGCGGGGUUCGGCGCCUUUCGGGGGCCCGCCGCGUCCUCGGCCGUGGGCGGGGGUUGGCCGCGCUGCUCGGUGGCCGCCGGCCCGGUGCACGGUCGUCUUAAGGAAAUCUGUCCCUUUUCAGGGAAGCGCAGGGCCUGGCGCUGGACACGGCCUCGCGCCCUCGGAAGGCCGCGCCUUGGUGCCCCUGCGGGGUCCUCCGCCGGGUUCGGCCGAUGAAGCCCGCGGCCCGCCUGGGCGCCCUGUGCCUGGCGCUGUGCUGCCUGGGCGGCGCGCGCGGGCUCUGGAGGAGUGACAGCCACGAGUGGCAUAAACUAAUUAUGGUUCACCACUGGCCUGCGACAGUGUGCAAGGUGAGUUCCGCCUCGACCGGCCCCUCUGACCUGUGACCCCCGCCCCCCGUGACGAGGAGUUUGCCCAGCAGGUUUCCUCGCCGAGCGCCUCUUGCCGACGGAACCUCCCGGCCUGUCCUGCUCCACGAGGCGGCGCCUUCCCGGCCGGAGACCGUCCCUCGGGGAGGGCCUUGCGCGAGGUUCUGGGGGUUCAGGCCCACAGACGGCGGUGGCUGGCUCAGGCAUCACGAAUGUAUUCUCCCAGUUCUGGGGGCCAGAAGUCUGAAACCAAGGUGCGGCAGGUCCCUUCCGGAAGUUUCGAGGGAGAAUGUGGUCCACGCCUCUUCCUGGCUUGUGGCGGUGCCGGCGCUCCUUGGCUUGUAGGCACAGCCUCUGCCCCGCCUCCACGCCGUGGUCUCCAUCCGUGUGUCUGUUUCUUACAGGAACCCCAGGGAUUGCGCUGAGGGCCUACCCUCAUCCAGUCUGACCUCCUCUUAACUUGAUGACACCUGCAAAGACCCUGUUCCAGAUAAAGUCACAUUCAGAAGGGCCUGGGGUUAGGACUUCAGCAUGCCCUCCGGGGACAGGCCUUGACCUGUCCCCUCCCUCCACUAUUGCAAGUCUCAUUAAAAGUCUCCGCCGGAGCCUUGCCGGCCUCCUUUGCUCAGCUCGGCACAGGUGGCGCCUUCCCUCCUUCAGGGUGGCCUCCGUCUGGCCCUGCCUCGCCUGGCGCCCUUGUCCUUGUAGAGUGUGUUGCAGAGGCUCUCACCCAAGAGCAGCCAGCUGACGCCCCUCCUGCUGCCUGCGGGCCGUGUCCCCCUGUCCAUCUUGGGGGCAGUUGUCGCGCCGAUCCUGGUAUUGGUGCCACGACUCUAAAGUCGUUUCAUCAUAUUGCUGAGCUGGCCCUAAUUUUAUUGACAGUGUUUCUGAAAUUUUGACUUGAAAAUUCUCAAUUUUGAGGCCUUUUCUUUUAAGUAUUGGGAGGUGGAGACAUUUAUAAAUGGCAAAGCCUCACCACCAUAGCAUUAGCUACCUCCCCCCUCCCAUCACACGGUUACCACAUCUUUCUUGUGGUGAGAACAUUUGAGAUCUACUCUCUCUGUAGCAUUCAAGUGCAUGAAACAGCAUUAUUCGCUGCGAUCACCAUGCUGUUCGUUAGAUCCCCAGGCUUGUUCAUCUUAUAACUGGAGGUUUG